UCUUAAAUAAAAUAAACUUAAUCGAAGAACUAAUAACAACGGAUAUCGAAUAUUUUAUUGUUCAUGUUUUUCAUUUUAUUAAUCAAUAUCAUUUUUUAUUCAGUUCUUUAAUAAGUUCUUCCAUUAAUGUUUUAUCCAAAAACAUUUUUAUACGAAUGAUGGACCUAUAUACACGAAAUUUCUGCGAGAAAAGCUUCAAUAAAAUUUUCGCUUGUCGUUGGCGAAAGCUUGUGUGUUGCACCGCUGAUUGUCGAGAUAUCGACUAUGGAAAUAUACGUCGAUAUGACACGAAAAUACCUGAAACGCUGCAAUUUAUACUGUUCUGAUAUUUACAUAGGAAUAUUAAUAUCCCGAAAAGAUUUAAACUUUCGUCGAUGGAACGUUUCCCUAAAAUGAGAAACUUUCUUUUUGAUACUCAUCAAAUUUUUAUCUUCGGGAUAUUAUCGUGCAGGGAGUUAAAAAAGGAAAAUUUAAAAAGGGUGAAUGUGUUUAAAUAGAAGAAAAAUAAAAUAUUAAUAUAUCUUUAACUCUUUUACAGUGUAAUAAAAUUAGCAAUAAAAUAAAUUAUUCGUUCAUUGUCAAGAUUCAUAUUAUUCUUGACUUCUCUCUUAGAUUAGACUGUGAAAGAGUUAAUAUACAAUAAUUAAAAUUAAGAAAAAUGGGAAUGAAGUUUUAUAGACUUUCCAAUAAUUUUUUAGAAUAAUUAUAAAUUAUAUUUUUAAGUUUUUCAUAUUAAAAGCACAGCGAAAUACAACUUUUAAAUUCCAAAAUCAUCUUUUUUAACAUCCUGCACUCAUUAUUUCUGACACGUGUGCUAGUUUCAUCAUCUUCGAUCGAUUCGCACGAAUGUCUGUCAUGUAUGCGUCUAUGUGAAAGAAUCAUAAUUAUAAAAUUGUCAUAAGAUAACGAGACUUAUCGUACACAUCGAAACAACGUCCAUUUUAAAUCGAUUGAGAAAGAAAGGAUUAGACUGCGAUCGAUUCGAAACUCGUAUAUAAGCUUACUUGUACGAGCUUACGUUUUUUUUUUUUGAAAACAUAAUUCGAUUAAUUGUUUAAUUAAUUGUUUCUUUUUUUGUUUUGUUUUAUAUGUGUGUCCGUGUAUCGUGCCAAGAACUGUUCGAGUUAUCGAUACGAUUUAUUUUUCAGCUACUUCCAUCGACAUUGCCAAAAUCGUCUGACUCGCGACCAUUUGUGUCGUCGAAAUCGAGACAGGAGGCCAUCGUCUUGGCGCGCGCGAGCUACCGGAAGUUAUAGUCGUGAUGCACGGCUGCAACCGGAACACAUGGGACAUCGUGAAGAUUUGAACUCUCUGGUAAAAGUUCUCACAGAAGUUGAAAAUGCAAAUUCGUGGUAAACGCGCUCAAGUGAAAUUUUUAAGGGUGAGGAGAAGAAAGAAUUUUCUCCACGGUUUCGACGAACGAUGGCGAAUAUUAUAUUUGAAUGGCUGUAUGUAACUGUGGUGUAUCAUUGGAUGUAAUAAAGGAAUUGUACAGAGA